rnacentral:rRNA from 1 species
GAUGAACGCUGGCGGCGUGCCCAAUACAUGCAAGUCGAGCGAACGGACGAUAAUCUUGCUUCUCUGAUGUUAGCGGCUGACGUGUGUGUAACACGUGUAUAACCUACCUAUUUUUCUUGUAUAACUUCGUGAAUCCGUUUCUUAUACCGUAUAAUAUUUUGUACCUCAUUGUUCAUUAGUUCUUUUCGCUCUUUCUGUCACUUUUAGCUUUUUCCGCGCUGGAUUAGCUAGUUGGUAAGGGAAAGGCUUACCAAGGCGACGAUGCGUAUCCGACGUGAGAGGGUGAUAGGCGACACUGGAAGUGAGACAGGGUCCAGACGACUACGGGAGGCAGCAGUAGGGAAUGUUCGGAAAAGGGCGAAAGCAUGACGGAGCAAGGCCGCGUGAGAGAAGAAGGACUUCGGAUCGUAAAACUAUGUUAGUAGGGAAGAAAAUAAGUGGAAGAAAAUGUGGACAGAAUGACGGUACCGAAACAGAAAGCAACGGCUAACUACGUG